UACGUAGGGUGCAAGCGUUAUCCGGAAUUAUUGGGCGUAAAGAGCUCGUAGGCGGUUUGUCGCGUCUGCUGUGAAGACUGGGGGCUCAACCCCCAGCCUGCAGUGGGUACGGGCAGACUAGAGUGCGGUAGGGGAGAUUGGAAUUCCUGGUGUAGCGGUGGAAUGCGCAGAUAUCAGGAGGAACACCGAUGGCGAAGGCAGAUCUCUGGGCCGUAACUGACGCUGAGGAGCGAAAGCAUGGGGAGCGAACAGG
rnacentral:rRNA from 1 species